rnacentral:rRNA from 1 species
GACGAACGCUGGCGGCGUGCCUAAUACAUGCAAGUCGAACGCUGAAGCGAGGAGCUUGCUCUUCUUGGAUGAGUUGCGGACGGGUGAGUAACGCGUAGGUAACCUGCCUUGUAUCGGGGGAGAACUAUUGGAAACGAUAGCUAAUACCGCAUAACAAUGGCUGCCACAUGUAAUUUAUUUGAAUCGGGCAUUUCCUGCACUACAAGAUGGAUCUGCGUUUUAUUAGGUAGUAGGUGAGGUAACGGCUCACCUAGGCGGCGGUACAUAGCCGACCUGAAAGGGUGGUCGGCCCCAAUGGGACUGGGACACGGCCCCGACUCCCUAGGGGAGGAGCAGUAGGGGAACUUCGGCAAAGGGGGCAAACCUGACCGCAGACCGCCGCGGGAGUGGAGAAAGGUUUCGGGUCGUAAAGCUCCGUUGUAAGUGAAGAAAGAGCGUGAGGGUGGAACGUUCACGCUGUGACGGUAGCUAACCAGAAAGCAACGGCUAACUACGUG